rfam:Ovis aries breed Texel chromosome 7, whole genome shotgun sequence.
UCCCUGGUGGUCCAGUGGUUAAGACUUUGCCUUCCAAUGCAGGGGGUUUAGGUUCGAACCCUCAUCAGGGAA